AUUGAACGCUGGCGGCAUGCUUUACACAUGCAAGUCGAACGGCAGCGCGGGCUUCGGCCUGGCUGCGAGUGGCGAACGGGUGAGUAAUUCAUCGGAACGUGCCCAGUUGUUGUGUAUAGCCCGGCGAAAGCCGGAUUAAUACCGCAUACGACCUGAGGAUGAAAGCGGGGGACCGAAAGGCCUUGCGCUCUUGGAGCGGCCGAUGUCGGAUUAGCUAGUUGGUGGGGUAAAGGCUUACCAAGGCGACGAUCCGUAGCUGGUCUGAGAGGACGACCAGCCACACUGGGACUGAGACACGGCCCAGACUCCUACGGGAGGCAGCAGUGGGGAAUUUUGGACAAUGGGGGCAACCCUGAUCCAGCCAUGCCGCGUGCGGGAAGAAGGCCUUCGGGUUGUAAACCGCUUUUGUUCGGGAAGAAAUCCUCUGGGCUAAUACCCCGGGGGGAUGACGGUACCGGAAGAAUAAGCACCGGCUAACUACGUG
rnacentral:rRNA from 1 species